UACGUAGGGUGCAAGCGUUAUCCGGAAUUAUUGGGCGUAAAGAGCUCGUAGGCGGUUUGUCGCGUCUGCUGUGAAAACUGGAGGCUCAACCUCCAGCCUGCAGUGGGUACGGGCAGACUAGAGUGCGGUAGGGGAGAUUGGAAUUCCUGGUGUAGCGGUGGAAUGCGCAGAUAUCAGGAGGAACACCGGUGGUGUAGACGGCUCUCUGGACCGUAACUGACGCUGAGGCACGAAAGCGUGGGUAGCAAACAGG
rnacentral:rRNA from 1 species